CUUCUCGCCUACAACCGGAGUUAAUAUUAAAAUAAUGUAUCGGGUGUAUAAUAUUAUAUACUUACGGGCGGAAGACCUAUUGCAGCGCGGACUCGGUUUCGUCGGCGGCUUCUCGUUUCCGUGGCUGUCGGGCUGCUGUCGGCUGGCAAACAGGAAAAAACGGCAAGGCACGCGCGAGUGCGCCAGACAAAUGAAAUCGCGGAGUUCGCCGCCGAACGUUCGGACGGGUGUCCUAGACGUUCCGGGGCGCGACGCGGGGCAGGGGGGGGAUAGAGCGCGUCAGCUAGCGCAACCGGUGGCUCGUUCCCGCGACGCGUCUGCCGUGCGACGCAUACAGAGUGUCCCACGAGAAGACAUUCGUAAUAUUUCCGGA